rnacentral:rRNA from 1 species
UACAGAGGGUGCAAGCGUUAAUCGGAAUUACUGGGCGUAAAGGGUGCGUAGGUGGUUAUGUAAGUUGGGUGUGAAAUUCCUGGGCUCAACCUGGGGACUGCGCUCAAUACUGUAUAGCUAGAGUACUGUAGAGGAAGGUGGAAUUUCCAGUGUAGCGGUGAAAUGCGUAGAUAUUGGAAGGAACAUCAGUGGCGAAGGCGACUUUCUGGACAGAUACUGACACUGAGGCACGAAAGCGUGGGGAGCAAACAGG